UGAUUUCAGUGCCUACUGGGCUACUUUCACUUUCACAGGAAGUGAAUGCAGAUCGAGGUCAAAUUAACGUUGUAGACCCUGUUGUUUGGAAUUGGACUCUGAGCAUAGAUUGAUCAUACAUGAUGAGUAUUUACUCAAUGAUUGAUCAGGAGAGAUACUUCGAAUUACAUUUCAUGCCCAGAUAUGUUGGGCCCAAUGCGUCUUUGCUCCAACCAUCACAAACUGACAAACGGAUGGUGACCGUGAUACUGAUAGUAACAGCUGAGUAAGGCUACAUGUACCCCGAUCAUCACUGAAAGGCAACCGGGAUGCAGUCUUUAAAUCUGGAGUUCUGGGCAGAACUGUGCAUUUCUGGAACAAUGAUGAGUUUAAGUGAAAUGGUAAUUUGUCAUGAAUUUCUACAGUGACUACAUGUACCCUGACCAUCUUUGAAAGGCAACUGGGAUACAGUGCAGUCUUUAUCUGGAAUUCUUGGCAGAACUGGACAUUCCUGGAACAAUGAUCAAUUCAAGUGAAACAGACUCGGGUGCAAGCAGACAUUCUUGUAAUUACAGAAUGUAUUCCUUAAGAGAGGCAACAUGUGACCUGAAAACAAUUCUAUUCAGAUCUAUUUAAGAAAUGAAUUCAAUAUCUAAUUCAUCCAAGUAUAUACUGGGUUUGGGCAGUUUGCGCUUUUUUAAACUGCUAAGUGGUUUAUGAAAAAGCACAUUUUUGAACUUGCAAAAGAAAUCAGACCAACUGCUGAUAUACGUGGUUUUCAGUGAGUUAAUCAACGAUUAUCUAUGAAAAGUUAGCUACACUGAACAGUUUCUUUUUUACAUGAGUAUAUAUACCUGAAACCCAUUGCACAUCAUAAGAAUUUUAUUUUAUUUUGGACAGUGCUCUUGUUGUAAAGUGUUAUGUGUAAUGCAUGCGAGUUGUGGACGGGGUUUGUAGUCAUCUGAGAACAAGGAUUGGCACGUUGAGUGGACUUGGAGAAAUCUUUAUAUGCUAAACCCAGUUUUAGAAGAAACGAAGAAAGCAAACACUAGCUCAGUUCCAACUAAUAGAGCUGUCAAUCAGGAUAAGCAAUAAAACAUGUUGACCAAAUUGGCACUCGGCUGUAAUAAAACAUUGUAUGUAGGGAACAUGUACUAGAAGGAAAGAGCGUUUAUGUAUACAUUUAGUUUUUAUGUAAUAUUCAUUAAUUAUUAUUAUAUGAUUGAUAUUAAAUAUGUAAGGCCACACCAAUUUGUAAAAUAGUUCUUCGGAUUUUCAAACAAAAAAGUGAGGCGAGAGGGCGAAAUUAUUUCACAAAUAUUAUUUUUAAUUUUGGAGAUAAAAAUUAUGAGGCGAGCGAAUACAAGAAAUAUAAAUAUUUUUAAUUGAAUUAAGUGUGAUUUUAAAAAGCGGGCGCCUAAAAAUAAAGAUCUAAAAUCAUCAGAUAUCAUUUGUUUACCACAUAAACUUAAUAUUUUUCAACUUUGUUGAUAUAGUUUACAAUAAAUAAGAAGUAUUUCAGGUUUCAAAGACUUAUUUUCUUUAUACCUAAUACAUGUACUUUGCAACAUUAACUGAUAAGGUCUUUUUGAAGCAUUUUAUUUAAGUUUCAUUUCUACAAACUUUCGAUUCAGAGAUAAGCAUAUUGCUAGGGACACAUCCAGUUUUGACAUUCAUUGCAAAUGCAAUAUCCAUUGCAUCGCUUUGAGAAUUUUCUUGAAUUUUGAUAUGACAUCACCAAACCUUUUGUGAAUUUGUCGUUAACUGUCGGUCCGGUUUAAAAUAGUCAUCGAUCAGUACCCCUUGCUUGUUGUAAGAGGCGAAUGAAUUGGGCGGUCCUUCAGAUAGGACUGCAAAAACUGAGAUCCUUGUCACAGCAGGUUUGGCACGAUAAAGAUCCCUCAGUGCCAUAAGCGCUGAGCAUAGGCCUAAAUUUUGCAGCCCUUCACCGGCAAUGGUAAUGUCUUCAUGUGAGUGAAAUAUUCUCAAGAGAGACUUCAGUCAAUAUAUAGGGUAAUCAAACAAUCAAUCAUAUGCUAUCAAUGUUCUUUAAAUAGUGGCAUCGAAUAGCGCUUCAAAAGUUUCAUCGGCUUCCAGUUCGAUUCCAGCAUAAGGAACAACUUCCAAUCCAGUGUUAUGAAGUAUCGUACAUAUUAAGAUAGACAUCAUGAAUAACUUAACCGUAUUACACUGUUAGGAAAUUUCUCGAGAGCCCGCGUUUCUGUCAUUGUCAGCAUGUACAUCAAGGUUAUUUGUGCGCUUGUUGUAAAAAUUAAAAAAAAUAUUUACGGAUAUUUUUGAACACGCGGGCGGAUACUAUUUUUUGAUAAUAUUAUAAUUUGGAUUUGUUACAAAUAGAAGCGGCGAAUCCGACGAACUAGAUUACAAAUUGGCAUGGCCUAAAUACUUAUUUUUA